rnacentral:rRNA from 1 species
UACAGAGGUCUCAAGCGUUGUUCGGAUUCAUUGGGCGUAAAGGGUGCGUAGGUGGCGCGGUAAGUCGGGUGUGAAAUUUCGGAGCUUAACUCCGAAACUGCAUUCGAUACUGCCGUGCUUGAGGACUGGAGAGGAGACUGGAAUUUACGGUGUAGCAGUGAAAUGCGUAGAGAUCGUAAGGAAGACCAGUGGCGAAGGCGGGUCUCUGGACAGUUCCUGACACUGAGGCACGAAGGCCAGGGGAGCAAAACGGG